UACAGGGGGGGCAAGCGUUGUUCGGAAUUACUGGGCGUAAAGGGUUCGUAGGCGGCCAACUAAGUCACACGUGAAAUCCCCAGGCUUAACCUGGGAACUGCGUGUGAUGCUGGAUGGCUUGAAUCCGGGAGAGGAAUGCGGAAUUCCAGGUGUAGCGGUGAAAUGCGUAGAUAUCUGGAGGAACACCGGUGGCGAAGGCGGCAUUCUGGACCGGCAUUGACGCUGAUGAACGAAAGCCAGGGGAGCAAACGGG
rnacentral:rRNA from 1 species